rnacentral:rRNA from 1 species
UACGAAGGGGGCUAGCGUUGUUCGGAAUUACUGGGCGUAAAGCGUAUGCAGGCGGAUCGUUAAGUCAGGGGUGAAAUCCUGGAGCUCAACUCCAGAACUGCCUUUGAUACUGGAGAGCUCGAGUCCGGAAGAGGUGAGUGGAACUGCGAGUGUAGAGGUGAAAUUCGUAGAUAUUGGGAAGAACACCGGUGGCGAAGGCGGCUCACUGGCUCAUUUCUGACGCUCAGGCGCGACAGCGUGGGGAUCAAACAGG